UACGGAGGGUGCAAGCGUUAUCCGGAUUCACUGGGUUUAAAGGGUGCGUAGGUGGGUAAGUAAGUCAGUGGUGAAAUCUCCGGGCUUAACCCGGAAACUGCCAUUGAUACUAUUUGUCUUGAAUACUGUGGAGGUCAGCGGAAUAUGUCAUGUAGCGGUGAAAUGCUUAGAUAUGACAUAGAACACCAAUUGCGAAGGCAGCUGGCUACGCAAAUAUUGACACUGAGGCACGAAAGCGUGGGGAUCAAACAGG
rnacentral:rRNA from 1 species